rnacentral:misc_RNA from 1 species
UUUUUUUUAUCUACGUGUCAUAGUCUGUAUGAAUUUGAGACCCUUUACGUUGAAUGUAUUGUAUAUAAUUAUUCUUUCCACCACCCAAGCAUCAAUGCAUCAAUAGUAACACGAGAGUACAAUCAUCAAUUAUUCAAAGACUGGAGAAAAACAAUGAUAAAAGCAUUUAACAUUUUUCAUCACUAAGCCUUUUUGCCGCAAUAACUCAAUGACUCAGUCCCAGUGUGCUUCGUUUGUUUUCAGUUUUCGUCGAUACAGUUUGUUUUAGCAUUGUUCUAUAGACAAUAUUUUGCCUUUUAAAAUCCUUUUUAACUGUAUAUAGGAUUCUUAGAGGUAAUUUUAAAUUCUCGUGUAGCGCAUGCUAUUUCCAUGUAGAAUAAAUCUACUCAAUAAGCUCUGAUAAUGAAGAUAAAUGUUAAAUUAUUAGUCAGAUGUACAAUUUAUGUAUUUUCAAAGAAAAUUGUAGAACACAGUAGUUGUAUUGAUUUAUUAGACUUGAUAGUGCAAUGUUUUUAUUGAAAAAAAAAUUGUAAAAAAUCAUUAUCCAAUUUAUACAAUCAAUGUUUAUCCUAUAAGCUGUAGUGUUUUUGAUUGUUCAAACUUUUUAUCCAAAUAAAACAAAUCAAAU